rnacentral:rRNA from 1 species
AUUGAACGCUGGCGGCAGGCCUAAGACAUGCAAGUCGAGCGGAUGAAGGGAGCUUGCUCCUGGAUUCAGCGGCGGACGGGUGAGUAAUGCCUAGGAAUCUGCCUGGUAGUGGGGGAUAACGUCCGGAAACGGGCGCUAAUACCGCAUACGUCCUGAGGGAGAAAGUGGGGGAUCUUCGGACCUCACGCUAUCAGAUGAGCCUAGGUCGGAUUAGCUAGUUGGUGGGGUAAAGGCCUACCAAGGCGACGAUCCGUAACUGGUCUGAGAGGAUGGUCAGUCACACUGGAACUGAGACACGGUCCAGACUCCUACGGGAGGCAGCAGUGGGGAAUAUUGGACAAUGGGCGAAAGCCUGAUCCAGCCAUGCCGCGUGUGUGAAGAAGGUCUUCGGAUUGUAAAGCACUUUAAGUUGGGAGGAAGGGCAGUAAGUUAAUACCUUGCUGUUUUGACGUUACCAACAGAAUAAGCACCGGCUAACUUCGUG